AAAAAUUAUAAAAAAUUUUGAAUCUGAAAACAUAUAAUCUGAAACUAUAAAAAAAAUUCAUUUUUUUAUUUUUAUUUUAUUUGUUUUUAUUUAUUUUUGUUUGUUUAUUUAAUUUUAAACCAAGGGUAUUAGAGAUAUUUUACCAUUUAAUGAAUGUCAUUUUUGUGACUUUCUCCUUCUAGUGUCAUUUUUGAGACAAAAACUCAAAAGGUGUUAUUAUUGACAAUUGCCCUAAAUUUAAUGUUUUCAUAUUUUGAUUUCAAAAUUACAGUAACAUGGUUUUAGUGCAAGAUUUAGUGUUGUUUAUGUAUUACAUUUCUAUAGUAUGUGUUUUGAUAUAUUUUAUUGCCGCAAUUUAUACUAUGGAAGUUUAAAAAGUCAUAUAUGAGCAUUUUCCCCUAGUUUAUAUAUAUGGAAACAAGUAAUAGUGAGUUUAAAUGAUCAAGAUUUAAGACACAUUAAUUGAGAGAAUGGACUCCCCACACGUGUGGAUGUUAUCGUCCAGUUUGAACAUGAAAAUUUGAGUUUGGGUUAAUUUGUGGAAUUUCAAUGAAAAAAUCAAAAAUAGAAAAAGUAACCAUAAGAAAAAAGAAUGCCAAUAAGGUUCACUUUCAAAACGUUUUCUUUUCGCAUGCGCGUUGGGGUGAAACGUAGUGGUCUACUCUGAAUUUGAGCUUCUGAUAUUCUUUUGAUUGACUUAAUUUGGAGAAUCGAAAGGUUCAUGGUUUGUUGGGGUUGGCGGUGGUCUUGGGAUAGGUGGUCAUGGUCUAGAGUCGGUGAUGCACAAUGGUCACUUCUGAUCUUGAAUUUCUCAUAUUUGCGGUCAUACAUUCACGUCUUAUGUCUAUAUGUUUUACAUUUUGGUCUAGGAUAGAUGGUGGUUUGAAUUCGUGAUGAGCUUUGGGUUCGAUGGUAUGUUUGGUAUUGGUUUGGGUCUUGUAUCCGGUUACCGUUAGAGGUAUUGGUUGGUUCAAAUAUGUGGUUAUGUGUAUGUCUGAAUCAUUU
rnacentral:lncRNA from 1 species